UACAGAGGAUGCAAGCGUUGCUCGGAAUCACGGGGCGUAAAGGGCGCGUAGGCGGGAUGGCAAGUCGGUCGUGAAAUCCUUCGGCCCAACCGAAGAACGUCGGCCGAUACUGCCAUUCUUGAGGGAUGCAGAGGAGACUGGAAUUCCCGGUGUAGCGGUGAAAUGCGCAAAUAUCAGGAGGAACACCAAUUGCGAAGGCAGCUCGCUGGGACGUUACUGACGCUGAGACGCGAAAGCGUGGGGAGCAAACAGG
rnacentral:rRNA from 1 species